AGUUCCAUACAUUGUUGGGUACAUCGAGGCCCAUCUGCACUUUCACACUGACAAUUAGGUUUGCGUUCAGUCAGAGACGACAACGCUGGCACUAGUUAUUUUUAUUUUACAAGUUUUUUCAUAAGUACUAUAGCACCAAACCAAUGAAAUCCUUAACUGCCACCACCUUUCGGGUGAAGCUCAUUCUACCCAAGAAUGAAGCAUAGUGGAAGGAGGAAUCAUUCGGCUGGAUGCGGUGUUUGACCGAAGAGGUGCACCCAAUGUUGAGGUCAUCUACAGAGAAUUACAUCUUGCCAUCUAGGUAGGAAAGUAUGAGAUUGGUUAAUCUCUCUCUGUCCUCUGAAGUCUGCGGAAAUUUAUCAUUGUAUUGACUUGUAAUUAAAGAUGUCGGGACGCCAUGAUUCUAGGAGGGGAGAGUGUCAGACCCUGUUUAUUAAGGUAUAUUCUAUUUUUUUGAGUAAACCUAUAUUCUAUUUUUGAGUAAGCUUAUAUUACUUUAAAUUGUUGAACCCCUAUUUAAAGUGUACCUUUAAACUAUGGUUCUAUUAAGAUCACCUCUCUGGUAUAUGCUACUGGUGAAACAAAUAGAUGGGAACAAAAAGACCCCUAUUCUAUAGGCCUUGUUUAUGUCUUAAACCCAGACCACUUCCUUUAUUCGUAGAGUACAUAAAUCAUGAAUGACCAGUGGAUACACUUACUGGUACCCCUUUGUCUUGGGGAUAGGGAAUAGUGGGGUUGUUUGCCUGGUUUGGAAGAAAGAUUGGCUUUCUCGUUGAGAGCAAGUUUAGACUUCAAGGCAGAUAGACGUGUGAUGUAACUUCCCCCAGAAGUUACUAUGUCUCAGCUUUUUAAGACCUGCCUUGAUUUUGUUUCUUAACAGUUCCACCAUGGUUCCACCAUGGUUCCACUUCCAUUUCCCUCGGGACAAGAGUUGGGACUGCUGUCGUUGUUCAGGCAACGCUCUCCGCCUGAUCGAUGUAUUUAGUGCUUACUGACGAACGA